AGAGUUUGAUCCUGGCUCAGGAUGAACGCUGGCGGCGUGCUUAACACAUGCAAGUCGAGCGAAGCAGUUAAGUUGAUUUCUUCGGAUUGAUUCUUGACUGACUGAGCGGCGGACGGGUGAGUAACGCGUGGGUGACCUGCCCCAUACCGGGGGAUAACAGCUGGAAACGGCUGCUAAUACCGCAUAAGCGCACGAAGCUGCAUGGCUUUGUGCGAAAAACUCCGGUGGUAUGGGAUGGGCCCGCGUCUGAUUAGGCAGUUGGCGGGGUAACGGCCCACCAAACCGACGAUCAGUAGCCGGCCUGAGAGGGCGACCGGCCACAUUGGGACUGAGACACGGCCCAAACUCCUACGGGAGGCAGCAGUGGGGAAUAUUGCACAAUGGGGGAAACCCUGAUGCAGCGACGCCGCGUGAGCGAAGAAGUAUUUCGGUAUGUAAAGCUCUAUCAGCAGGGAAGAUAAUGACGGUACCUGACUAAGAAGCCCCGGCUAACUACGCGCCAGCAGCCGCGGUAAUACGUAGGGGGCAAGCGUUAUCCGGAUUUACUGGGUGUAAAGGGAGCGUAGACGGCAAGGCAAGUCUGAUGUGAAAACCCAGGGCUUAACCCUGGGACUGCAUUGGAAACUGUCUGGCUCGAGUGCCGGAGAGGUAAGCGGAAUUCCUAGUGUAGCGGUGAAAUGCGUAGAUAUUAGGAAGAACACCAGUGGCGAAGGCGGCUUACUGGACGGUAACUGACGUUGAGGCUCGAAAGCGUGGGGAGCAAACAGGAUUAGAUACCCUGGUAGUCCACGCCGUAAACGA
rnacentral:rRNA from 1 species